rnacentral:rRNA from 1 species
AUUGAAUGCUGGCGGCAGGCCUAACACAUGCAAGUCGAACGAGUGGCGGACGGGUGAGUAAUGUCUGGGAAACUGCCUGAUGGAGGGGGAUAACUACUGGAAACGGUAGCUAAUACCGCAUACCAUCGGAUGUGCCCAGAUGGGAUUAGCUAGUAGGUGGGGUAAAGGCUCACCUAGGCGACGAUCCCUAGCUGGUCUGAGAGGAUGACCAGCAACUCGGGAACGGAGACCAGUUCCAGACUCCUACGGGGGGCAGCAGUGGGGGAUAUUGCACAAUGGGCGAAAGCCGGAUGCAGCCAUGCCGCGUGUAUGAAGAAGGCCGUCGGGUUGUAAAGUACGUUCAGCGGGGAGGCGUUACCCGCAGAAGAAUCACCGGCGAACUCCGUGCCAGCAGCCGCGGUAAUAC